GCAGGUUAAAUGUCACAAGGUUCCAUGUAAAUCCUAUGCCUAAAUCAGAAAAAAAAAAAGAACGAAAUCCCAGAGGAAGACUUGACUUGACAGUCCUCAUGUAGAAAAGGCCUAUGAUCAAUUUAAAUGAAUUGAAAAUUCAACAUGAGUUAAUGAUAUGGCAUGGUUGCCGAUGACAUUAACCAAAGUUUAGGAGCUCCCCAAACUGAAGUAUUUGUUUUAAUAUUCUUUCAGCUGCUUCGCCACACUUGGCUUGUGGACAUCAGCUUUGGAUCACAAUCAUAAAACAAAUGACUGGACCAGAGGCUGUUCCUGAAUGAUGAGUCCAUGUUCCUGUGCUCAGUGAGAGCAUGAUUGGAUCUUAUCACAUCUUGUCAUCUUCAGUUUACCUCCGAAUUGAACAACAGUUGUUAUUUUUCACCAGAAAACAAAGAUAGAUGACCCUUAUUGUUCUGCUUCAUGAUGGGAUCCUGCCCUGAGGUUGACUACGUAAUUUUCUUAGCAAUUUGGAGGAAGAUUGAAAUCUUGGCAAUUAAAUCUGACUUCCAGUGUUGCAGAGCCUGACCCGGAAAUGGGGAAGACGAGCAGCCGGCACAGCUGUCCUAGAUAAGCUCUGAGAUUCAUAAUUGCCCAGUUCCUCUCCUGUGGUCCAAACUCGUCUCUGUGAAAGGUACCUCUGGCUGUCAUCUGUCCCCCUGUGGGGGCUUGGACCACAGGGAACCAAGGCUGGGACUGUUAUGUAAAUAAUUUGUCUGUUCUCUGACCCAGAAACCUUGUUUCUUCUCAGGAAUAAAUCAAAAUGUAAACA